UCUCCUGGAAACGGGUGGUAAUGCCGGAUGUUCCAGUUGAUCGCAUGGUCUUCUGGGAAAGCUUUCGCGGUAUGGGAUGGGGUCGCGUCCUAUCAGCUUGACGGCGGGGUAACGGCCCACCGUGGCUUCGACGGGUAGCCGGCCUGAGAGGGCGACCGGCCACAUUGGGACUGAGAUACGGCCCAGACUCCUACGGGAGGCAGCAGUGGGGAAUAUUGCACAAUGGGCGCAAGCCUGAUGCAGCGACGCCGCGUGAGGGAUGGAGGCCUUCGGGUUGUAAACCUCUUUUAUCGGGGAGCAAGCGUGAGUGAGUUUACCCGUUGAAUAAGCACCGGCUAACUACGUGCCAGCAGCCGCGGUAAUACGUAGGGUGCAAGCGUUAUCCGGAAUUAUUGGGCGUAAAGGGCUCGUAGGCGGUUCGUCGCGUCCGGUGUGAAAGUCCAUCGCUUAACGGUGGAUCCGCGCCGGGUACGGGCGGGCUUGAGUGCGGUAGGGGAGACUGGAAUUCCCGGUGUAACGGUGGAAUGUGUAGAUA
rnacentral:rRNA from 1 species